UGAGAAACAUGACCUUCGGCGGGGGAUAGCCGGCCCAACGGCCGGGUAAUACCGCGUACGACCACAUGGGGACAUCCCUGAGUGGUGAAAGCAGCAAUGCGCCGAUGGAGUGCCUCGCGGCCUAUCAGCUAGUUUGGGUGGGGUAACGGCUCACCAAGGCGACGACGGGUAGCUGGUCUGAGAGGAUGGCCAGCCACAUUGGGACUGAGACACGGCCCAGACUCCUAGGGAGG
rnacentral:rRNA from 1 species